rnacentral:pre_miRNA from 1 species
AAAGACUCAAUUCCUGGGUUUCCGUGUCCAACGUUUAACUGUUCGUCUUAUAUGAAGUUUUUUUUAUGAUUAGUAUUUUUAUUGUUGUUAGAUGAUAAAACAUGAAUAAUACUUUAUGUGUGAUUUAUCUUUUUUAAUUUUUUUCAUAUUUUUUUAAAAAUAAGACGGACGGUCAAACGUUAGACACGGAAACCCAAGAAUUAAA